GAAUAAAUGGAAAUAGAAGGAAAGAUUAUAGAUGGGAGGAAGAGAAGGGAAGGAAAAAGAAGGAAUAGAAGAGGUGGAAACAGGGAAAAAUAAACCAAGAAUACAAAGGAAAACAGGAAAGCGAGGAAGGAAGGAAGGAAGGAAAGGAAAUAGAAGGAAAGAUUAUAGAUGAAAGGAAGAGAAAGGAAGGAAAAAAAAGAAAAAGAAGAGGUGGAAACAGGGAAAAAAGAACCAAGAAUAGAUAGCAAAAUAGAAAAAGAGAGAAAAAGAGAAGGAAAGGAGAUAGAAGGAAAGAUUAUACAUGAAAGGAAGAGAAGGGAAAGGAAAAAGAAGGAAAAGAAGAGGUGGAAACAGGGAAAAAUGAACCAAGAAUACAAAGCAAAACAGGAAAAGGAAGGAAAGAAGAGAGAAAAAGAGAAGGAAAGGAAAUAGAAGGAAAGAUUAUAGAUGGGAGGAAGAGAAGGGAAGGAAAAAGAAGGAAAAGAAGAGGUGGAAACAGGGAAAAUAAACCAAGAAUACAAAGGAAAACAGGAAAGCGAGGAAGGAAGGAAGGAAAGGUGAAGAAAAACAAUCCAAGCCUCCAAUGACCAGCCCGUAACAGACACACACACCUUGGUUUAGAUAUUAACACAACAAUGACACAUGAGUUACAGAGAGCGGACACAUUUAAUAACACAUGAAUUACAGACACGGGGAGAGUGUACGUGUAUGCAAAACACACACACACACACACACACACACACACACACACACACACACACACA